UACCUGACUGCUCCUGCCCAUAAUCAUGCAUGCGUCUCAAAGAUUAAACCAAACAGCUCUCUCUCCUCAGACCUAUGUGCUGUAAGGCUGCGGAUAGCCUAUUAAUUCAUCUCAAAUUGAUUGGAAAGUGCCAUUGAGUUUAAGACUGUGGUAGCUCUAGAGCCAAUACAUGCCUCGCUUCUCUGGCCCUGCCUGCUUGCUUGUAAUGUAGGGGAUUGAUGGAUACAAUUAUUAGAUCAGGAGCCAUCCGACAGUGCGUAUGCGGCCGUGAGGUCGUAGCAAACGCAGAGAUAUUUCUAGUGAUCCUGAGCAAUUGUUACAGAUUGCAGCUCGUAUUUAGAAGUCGGCGAUGGAUGCUUCCUUCAUUUGUCUACCUUAUCAAACACUAACGGUGGCAGGUAAAAUACCUACCUUGAUGCUAACGGCAAGGAAUGACAGGGAAUAAGAGUUUGAUUCCGUUCAAAAGAGGGGCUGAGAAACGGCAGCAGGACUGUAGCUCAUUCACCCUCGUUCGAGGAGAUGAGGUCGUGACUAAAAAUACAGACGCGAGACUCUCUAAGGCAAAAAGGCGUCCUUGGUACUUAGAACGAGUGGAAUGUAAAACCUUUUAUUAAGACGAAUUAAGGAGCAAGGCUAGUGAAAGCAGCCACCGAAACUGCAACUACAAUAGUGUAUGCUAAGAAUGCUGCAGAUCUAAAGCUUGCUGAUAGAUUUUGGCGACACUGUCGCCUGUUGAUAAACAAGCUGUAGGUGUGUGGCUGUCGGCGCAUAGUCUUAACGGCUAUGAGGUGGUGUAAGUCACUCUAACAAAUGCUGCUGUAUUAAGUUGUUAAGUAUUGGUGUCAUCUUAAAAUUAUGUCAGUGAUGCGAUGGCCGUAGGUACGGGAGAAUGUUGAACAUUGCUCUGCAUACUUUGCAAACGCAGCCUGUCCGUAGUCAUUUGUGUGCUUUUAUACAGAUGCCCUCACAGAAUGGGUGGUAUCUUUGAAUGAAUUUGCAUGCUCAAAUUAAAUAAAUACUGCCAAAAUAUUUAUAUGGAAUGAUGGUGUGGGAUGGUGAUUUCGAUUAGCUCCAUUUUGCUAAGAGACAUUUGUAUAGCUACACUACAAAUGAAAAUCACGAACCGUUGUUAGCCGAAAUAAAACAAAAGCAUGAUUUCGAUGGCCAUCAGCAAACCUCAGAGGCUCCGCACGAGCAAUG
rnacentral:ncRNA from 1 species